GCCAGAAAUAGGAAGAGCACAAGUGCGAAGAGAACAAACGGCAUAAGAAACAAGUAGAAUACUUAGUGGGAAAUGCCAAUUGAUUAUUAUUAUAGCCGAGAAUGAAGAAAAAAACCAACACCACGUUUAUCAUUUCUCUCUCUAUUUACACACAUAUUCCACCAUUGUUGCUUCACUCAACAGCCAACAAUUUGGAUCAUACAGCUUUUCCUGAAUAUUUUAUUUGUCG
rnacentral:lncRNA from 1 species